GUGCUUCUUUUGACAACACCCAUACUAAAACGAAAAUACAGAGAAGUUUAGCAUUGUCCCUGCAGAAGAAUGAGGUGCAAAUUGACCAAGUGGUCCAGAUCUUU